rnacentral:rRNA from 1 species
AUUGAACGCUGGCGGCAGGCCUAACACAUGCAAGUCGAGCGGAGCGGCGGACGGGUGAGUAAUGCCUAGGUGUCUGCCUGGUCGUGGGGGAUAAAGUCCGGAAACGGGCGCUAAUACCGCAUACUAUCAGAUGAGCCUAGGUCGGAUUAGCUAGUUGGUGGGGUAAAGGCCUACCAAGGCGACGAUCCGUAACUGGUCUGAGAGGAUGAUCAGUCACACUGGAACUGAGACACGGUCCAGACUCCUACGGGAGGCAGCAGUGGGGAAUAUUGGACAAUGGGCGAAAGCCUGAUCCAGCAAUGCCGCGUGUGUGAAGAAGGUCUUCGGAUUGUAAAGCACUUUAGGUUGGGAGGCGGUACCAACAGAAUAAGCACCGGCUAACUCCGUGCCAGCCGCCGCGGUAAUUC